UAGUGAGUUUGAUCCUGGCUCAGAACGAACGCUGGCGGCAGGCUUAACACAUGCAAGUCGAACGGACGUAGCAAUACGUCAGUGGCAGACGGGUGAGUAACACGUGGGAACGUCCCCUCGGUUCGGAAUAACUCAGGGAAACUUGAGCUAAUACCGGAUACGUCCGAGAGGAGAAAGAUUUAUCGCCGAGGGAUCGGCCCGCGUCUGAUUAGCUAGUUGGUGAGGUAACGGCUCACCAAGGCGACGAUCAGUAGCUGGUCUGAGAGGACGAUCAGCCACACUGGGACUGAGACACGGUCCAGACUCCGUACGGGAGGCAGCAGUGGGGAAUUUCCGCAAUGGGCGAAAGCCUGACGGAGCAAUACCGCGUGA
rnacentral:rRNA from 2 species